AGCAGCCGCGGUAAUUCCAGCUCCAAUAGCGUAUAUUAAAGUUGUUGCAGUUAAAAAGCUCGUAGUUGAAUUUCGGGACCAAUCUGCCGGUCGUGCCUCCGGUACGCACUGGUUUUAUUGGUUUCUCCCUUCUGACGAACCAUGAUGUCAUUAAUUUGGUGUCAUGGGGAAUCAGGACUGUUACUUUGAAAAAAUUAGAGUGUUUAUAGCAGGCUCACGCUUGAACACAUUAGCAUGGAAUAAUGAAAUAGGACGUUUGACCCUAUUUUGUUGGUUUCUAGGAUCGACGUAAUGAUUAAUAGGGAUAGUUGGGGGCAUUAGUAUUCAAUUGUCAGAGGUGAAAUUCUUGGAUUUAUUGAAGACUAACUACUGCGAAAGCAUUUGCCAAGGAUGUUUUCAUUAAUCAAGAACGAAAGUUAGGGGAUCGAAGACGAUCAGAUACCGCCGUAGUCUUAACCAUAAACUAUGCCGACUAGGGAUCGGAUGAUGUUAAUUUUUUAAUGACUCAUUCGGCGCCUUA
rnacentral:rRNA from 1 species